rnacentral:rRNA from 2 species
UACGGCGGUUAUGGCGGGAAGGAAACACCCGGUUACAUUCCGAACCCGGAAGUUAAGCUUCUCAGCGCCGAUGGUACUGCACUCGGGAGGGUGUGGGAGAGUAGGUCACCGCCGGAC